rnacentral:rRNA from 1 species
CUGGAAACGGACGCUAAUACCGCAUAACAUAUUGGUUUCGCAUGGAGCUGAUAUCAAAGGAGCAAUCCGCUGAAAGAUGGACUCGCGUCCAAUUAGCUAGUUGGUGAGGUAACGGCCCACCAAGGCGACGAUUGGUAGCCGGACUGAGAGGUUGAACGGCCACAUUGGGACUGAGACACGGCCCAGACUCCUACGGGAGGCAGCAGUGGGGAAUAUUGCACAAUGGGGGAAACCCUGAUGCAGCGACGCCGAGUGAGGGAAGAAGGUUUUCGGAUUGUAAACCUCUGUCCUUGGUGAAGAUAAUGACGGUAACCAAGGAGGAAGCUACGGCUAACUACGUGCCAGCAGCCGCGGUAAUACGUAGGUAGCGAGCGUUGUCCGGAAUUACUGGGUGUAAAGGGAGCGUAGGCGGGAUUGCAAGUUGAAUGUUAAAUCUAUGGGCUCAACCCAUAGCCGCGUUCAAAACUGCAGUUCUUGAGUGAAGUAGAGGCAGGCGGAAUUCCUAGUGUAGCGGUGAAAUGCGUAAAUAUUAGGAGGAACACCAGUGGCGAAGGCGGCCUGCUGGGCUUUAACUGACGCUGAGGCUCGAAAGCGUGGGUAGCAAACAGGAUUAGAUACCCUGGUAGUCCACGCUGUAAACGAUGAUUACUAGGUGUGGGGGGACUGACCCCUUCCGUGCCGGAGUUAACACAAUAAGUAAUCCACCUGGGGAGUACGACCGCAAGGUUGAAACUCAAAGGAAUUGACGGGGGCCCGCACAAGCAGUGGAGUAUGUGGUUUAAUUCGAAGCAACGCGAAGAACCUUACCAGGUCUUGACAUCCGGUGCAUAGCCUAGAGAUAGGUGAAGCCCUUCGGGGCACCGAGACAGGUGGUGCAUGGUUGUCGUCAGCUCGUGUCGUGAGAUGUUGGGUUAAGUCCCGCAACGAGCGCAACCCUUACGUUUAGUUGCUACGCAAGAGCACUCUAGACGGACUGCCGUUGACAAAACGGAGGAAGGUGGGGAUGACGUCAAAUCAUCAUGCCCCUUAUGACCUGGGCUACACACGUACUACAAUGGCUAUUA